AGGCCAGAAGAGAGAGGCAGGGUUUGAUCUGCAGCCUCCGUGGUAGCUAUUGAUCAGCUGUUUCCUCUCUCUUUCUCUCUG
rfam:Myotis davidii contig55076, whole genome shotgun sequence.